AGAGCAAGAAGAAACA
rnacentral:sRNA from 1 species